AAGGUUUUAAGUUAAAUAAAACUUUUAGCCUUCAAAGCUAAUAAUAAAAAUCAAUUUUUAAACCUUA
rnacentral:tRNA from 1 species